CCCUUUUAUUCAGUGAUAUCAUGGGUAGUGCGACGGUUUGGUUUGGUUUACGCAAAAUGGGAAAGGUGAGGGGAAGGGGAUGAUGUUCCAGUUCCACAAUGCUACUGACUGAGAAAAGGGUUUAACCAAACGAAUUGCUGCUGCUAUUGGUGAGCAUUUCAGGAUGGACGUGAGGGGGGCUUUGAUCAACAUGGUAUUACCAAAGAGGUGAGGUCCAAACAAGAGAUGGCAUCACGGUGGCAAUGUCCUAGAGUGAAUGACCAACAGGUUCUAGCCAGGAUGAAAAUCAUUAUUGGAGCACAAGAUUCAUCAAUUUCAACAGCUCUUUUUUACUCAGAUUCCAAACAUUAUUACAAUCUUUUACUCAAAUCCCAAACAUUACGUAUACCUAAUUUUAAAAGUAAUAAACUAUAAAAUAUAUCAUUUCACAACCCACACAAAACGCCACAAAACCCCCAACAACAAAUAUUUUACUUUCUGUGUAUUCACCAACCACAUAUCAUGGAACUAAGUGGAGGAUUGUACUUCCAAAGCCUGUGAGUGUGAGACAUGAGGAGUUAGAAAGGAUUAAAAAAGAUGGUGGCCAUAUUGUUUAUCGAGAUGGCUUACGAGUUCAUGGAAUCCUCCAUAUGUCUCGCUCACUAGUAUUUCUCCAUAAAAAGUGUAAUGGGACCAACAACUGAGGUGGAGUCCUCUCUCAAAGAACAUAACGCAUACCACACCUAUAACUACAACCUUUACUAUGAACUAUGAAGCUAGGGAUGAGGAGGCAUCAUCUUUAGCACUACUAAUAGAACAUCUUAAACACAAAGAAACAAUGUCACAAACGAAGGAACCUCGACCCAACAAGCUAUUGCAGCAAUUGAGCCUUCAUUAUCAUCAACUGGUAAUGUGAAGGGGUUGGACAAUAACGAAAUGAACAUGUCCGACUGCUAUUGUUGAUCCUGGAUUGCUCCCCGAAGUUAACAAGAAUUAUUAUUCUCUUAUCGACAUGAAGACAAGAGCUAAACCAAUACCAAUGAGAUUUCAAGCAUUGAUUAUUUUGUUUGAAAAUUUUCCCCAUAUGCAUAACUGAUUUAAAAGUGUAUAUAUGGGAAAAGAAAGAUGCAUUCUUUGAAUUUUUUAUUGCUUAGAAUUUGAAAAGGUGGGGCGGAAAAUUGGAAAAGAAAAUCCAUUUUCUAUACAAGCUGGUUUUGUGUUUCUGGUUAUAUAAUAUCGUUCCCGGACCCUUGCAAUACUAGAAAAUAAAAUUAUAAAUACAGUUUUUGCC